rnacentral:rRNA from 1 species
ACGGGGGAUGCAAGCGUUAUUCGGAUUUACUGGGUUUAAAGGGCGCGUAGGCGGUUUGAUAAGUCAGCGGUGAAAUAUUUCAGCUCAACUCCAAAGCUGCCUUUGAUACUGCAAGGCUUGAAUACAGUAGAUGUGGGUGGAAUUUGUGGUGUAGCGGUGAAAUGCUUAGAUAUCACACAGAAUACCGAUUGCGAAGGCAGCUCACAAAACCAUUAUUGACGCUGAUACGCGAAAGUGUGGGGAUCAAACAG